rnacentral:rRNA from 1 species
UACGAAGGGGGCUAGCGUUGUUCGGAAUUACUGGGCGUAAAGCGUGCGCAGGCGGCUUUCCAAGUCAGUGGUGAAAGCCCGGAGCUCAACUCCGGAAAUGCCAUUGGAACUGUGAAGCUCGAGAACGAGAGAGGUGAGUGGAAUUCCCAGUGUAGAGGUGAAAUUCGUAGAUAUUGGGAAGAACACCAGUGGCGAAGGCGGCUCACUGGCUCGUAACUGACGCUCAUGCACGACAGCGUGGGGAUCAAACAGG